rnacentral:rRNA from 1 species
UGGGGAAUUUUGGACAAUGGGCGAAAGCCUGAUCCAGCAAUGCCGCGUGUGUGAAGAAGGCCUUCGGGUUGUAAAGCACUUUUGUCCGGAAAGAAAUCCUUGGCUCUAAUACAGUCGGGGGAUGACGGUACCGGAAGAAUAAGCACCGGCUAACUACGUGCCAGCAGCCGCGGUAAUACGUAGGGUGCAAGCGUUAAUCGGAAUUACUGGGCGUAAAGCGUGCGCAGGCGGUUUGCUAAGACCGAUGUGAAAUCCCCGGGCUCAACCUGGGAACUGCAUUGGUGACUGGCAGGCUAGAGUAUGGCAGAGGGGGGUAGAAUUCCACGUGUAGCAGUGAAAUGCGUAGAGAUGUGGAGGAAUACCGAUGGCGAAGGCAGCCCCCCUGGGCCAAAUACUGACGCUCAUGCACGAAAAGCGUGGGGAGCAAAACAGGAUUAGAUACCCUGGUAGUCCACGCCCUAAAGCGAUGUCAACUAGUUGUUGGGGGAUUCAUUUCCUUAGUAACGUAGCUAACGCGUGAAGUUGACCGCCUGGGGAGUACGGUCGCAAGAUUAAAACUCAAAUGAAUUGACGGGGUCAUAGCUGUUUCCU